rnacentral:lncRNA from 13 species
GUUUUUGGCGUGUAUAAAUAGGUCAUGAUGACAGCUGUAGUUGCAGAGUGGACAGUGAGCUAUGAUGGAAUCUGUGAUGAUGAAACUGCAGUGUUCGGAUUUAUUAGUAGAGUAGGCUGUAAAAGAGGGUGGCCUAGGAAGUAUUCACAUGUAUAUUCCCCGGACUCAACAUGGAAGGCACCAAGGCCUCACCCUCUAAAAAAAGCACCUCUGGCCCAUCUUACGGAGGGGGGGGGUCUAAAAUAAAAUCAGCUGUCACUGUCUGCUCGUUGGACAGAGGUGAUCACGUACUGCUGGAGCUGGACUCCAACGCCAAAAGGGAUUUGACUUGUGGCGAGGAAAGACGCCCUGCGGGCCAGGGGUUUCAGUGGCCUUCCUGUGGGAUUCUAUCGACUGAGUUGCAUUUUUCUUUUUUUCACAGACCUGCGCAGGUGUAACUACCAGGUUAGGACUUCCUGAGGAAGCUGUGAACUCAGAGGAACAGGAUUCACUCUGAAGACUCAGAUCCCAUUGACAGGAACCAACUGACAAGACCUCCUGACACCAGGAUCCACUGACACCGGGAUAUAUUGACCACCAGUACCCACUGACACCAGUAGCCACUGACACCAGGAUCCACUGACACCAGGAUCUACUGACACCAGUAGCCACUGACACCAGGAUCCACUGACACCAGUAGCCACUGACACCAGUAGCCACUGACACCAGGAUCCACUGACACCAGUAGCCACUGACACCAGGAUCCACUGACACCAGUAGCCACUGACACCAGGAUUCACUGACACCAGGAUCCACUGACACCAGUAGCCACUGACACCAGGAUCCACUGACACCAGUAGCCACUGACACCAGGAUCCACUGACACCAGGAUCCACUGUCCGUACCCAUGGCCAUGUACCAGCAGGCAGCUGACUCCAAGCAGCAUGACAACAUCUUCUCCAGCGGGGUAGGCAGACACACACAAUACAUGAUAAAGAUAUGGUCAUACAUUUAUGGAUGUAUUCUUCAAUGACCAGUUUUAGGCCGUACUACCUGACUUACUGACAUACCUAACCAUAGAAGCCUCUAACAAUGUAGGUGAUAAGAUUUUCUUUAAAUAUAUAUUUUUAGUGUCCAUUGUAAUGAGCCAACUACAUCAUUUUUAGAUUAAUUGUGUGUUUUGUCAUGCCCACCCUGGUAACCCUGCCAUGUUUAGUGUGACUGUAAGGACUUGGGACGUUAGAUUUUGCAGUCUAGAAGUCAUUUAUUCCACAUUUUGAAUGAGGUUGCAUAAUUCUGGUAUUCACAGUAGAUCAUUCCGAGCAUGUUCUUAAGCAGUUGCAGUCAUGCAAAGAAAGAGUCAAAGUGUUGUGAUUGUUGUGAAAGCCACUGAUGGCUUUGUGGUGCUAUGUUAGUGGAAAGUGAUGACAGCUGACCAGUGGGAGAGUUCAGUGGCCCUGCAGACCCACGGAAACAUGACUCCUCUCAUGGGGCUCAGAGUGGAAAC